AUUGAACGCUGGCGGCAGGCCUAACACAUGCAAGUCGAACGAGUGGCGGACGGGUGAGUAAUGUCUGGGAAACUGCCUGAUGGCUGGGGUUAACUACUGGCAACGGUAGCUAAUACCGCAUACCAUCAGAUGUGCCCCGAUGGGAUUGGCUAGUUGGUGGGGUAACGGCUCACCAAGGCGACGAUCCCUAGCUGGUCUGAGCGGAUGACCAGCCACACUGGAACUGAGACACGGUCCAGACUCCUACGGUAGGCAGCAGUGGGGAAGAUUGCACAAUGGGCGCAAGCCUGAUGCAGCCAUGCCGCGUGUAUGAAGAAGGCCUUCGGGUUGUAAAGUACUUUCAGCGGGGAGGCGUUACCCGCAGAAGAAGCACCGGCUAACUCCGGGCCAGCAGCCGCGGUAAUUC
rnacentral:rRNA from 1 species